UCUUUACAGGUGCUUGCAAAGGAGAAGUUCUGGUCAUCAGAACACCACAAGAAGCCAAGUGCCUGAAACAGGGAAAAUGCUUUUAGAUGUGUUUCCUACCAGCAAAAUAAUUAACAAUGCAUUCAGUGACAGAACCAUCUCCACUCACUCCUGCUCACUGCUUCCUCCCUGAGCACUUGAGGACUGAUCAUGGCACCACCCAACUCCCACGACCUGAAAAGGAAGCAUUUCUGGAAUAUGAAUACACGUUUGCAAGGUUAACUCUUCACCAAAGCAUAUUGUUUUUCUCAAGCCGCUGCGGCCAGCCUUACAAAUGCUCAGGUGAGAAGGAACUUGUUGCACUAUCUGAAGCGGAAAACAUCCGGGCGCUUCCUCAGUUUUUAAAUCCUUAG